GGUCGUGUGAUGUAGUGGUCGAAGCAUUCCAGAUUUUGAUAGGUACAACAAGUCUGUGCUAAGGUCAAACGGUUCUGGCUACCUGGGUUCGAAUCCCAGCAUGACCA
rnacentral:tRNA from 1 species